GAUCCUGGCUCAGAUUGAACGCUGGCGGCAUGCCUUACACAUGCAAGUCGAACGGCAGCAUGAUCUAGCUUGCUAGAUUGAUGGCGAGUGGCGAACGGGUGAGUAAUACAUCGGAACGUGCCCGAUCGUGGGGGAUAACGAAGCGAAAGCUUUGCUAAUACCGCAUACGAUCUACGGAUGAAAGCAGGGGACCGCAAGGCCUUGCGCGAACGGAGCGGCCGAUGGCAGAUUAGGUAGUUGGUGGGAUAAAAGCUUACCAAGCCGACGAUCUGUAGCUGGUCUGAGAGGACGACCAGCCACACUGGGACUGAGACACGGCCCAGACUCCUACGGGAGGCAGCAGUGGGGAAUAUUGGACAAUGGGGGGAACCCUGAUCCAGCCAUGCCGCGUGUGUGAAGAAGGUCUUCGGAUUGUAAAGCACUUUAAGUUGGGAGGAAGGGCAGUAAAUUAAUACUUUGCUGUUUUGACGUUACCGACAGAAUAAGCACCGGCUAACUCUGUGCCAGCAGCCGCGGUAAUACAUAGGUCGCAAGCGUUAUCCGGAAUUAUUGGGCGUAAAGAGUUCGUAGGUGGUCUUGUAAGUCUGAAGUUAAAGCCCGGGGCUCAACCCCGGCCCGCUUUGGAUACUGCAAGACUAGAGUAAUAGAGAGGUUAGUGGAACUCCAAGUGAAGCGGUGGAAUGCGUAGAUAUUUGGAAGAACACCAAUGGCGAAGGCAACUAACUGGCUAUUAACUGACACUGAGGAACGAAAGCGUGGGUAGCAAACAGGAUUAGAUACCCUGGUAGUCCACGCCGUAAACGAUGGAUACUAGUUGUUGGUGUUUUUUGCAUCAGUGACUAAGCGAAAGUGAUAAGUAUCCCACCUGGGGAGUACGAUCGCAAGAUUGAAACUCAAAGGAAUUGACGGGGGCCCGCACAAGCGGUGGAGCAUGUGGUUUAAUUCGAUGCAACGCGAAGAACCUUACCUGGUCUUGACAUCCACGGAAGUUUUCAGAGAUGAGAAUGUGCCUUCGGGAACCGUGAGACAGGUGCUGCAUGGCUGUCGUCAGCUCGUGUCGUGAGAUGUUGGGUUAAGUCCCGCAACGAGCGCAACCCUUAUCCUUUGUUGCCAGCGGUCCGGCCGGGAACUCAAAGGAGACUGCCAGUGAUAAACUG
rnacentral:rRNA from 1 species